rnacentral:sRNA from 1 species
UGACAAAAAAAGGCCGAGUUGACUCCUCUACUCGGCCUAGGGAAAAUGGCUCUUAAAGAGCCGUGCGCUAAAAGUGUCAUUGAGACGUAAACAACUUACAGUUUAAAGCGUAGCUGACAUAUGGCAUUUUACCAAUUU